AUUGAACGCUGGCGGCAGGCCUAACACAUGCAAGUCGAGCGGCAGCGGAAAGUAGCUUGCUACUUUGCCGGCGAGCGGCGGACGGGUGAGUAAUGUCUGGGAAACUGCCUGAUGGAGGGGGAUAACUACUGGAAACGGUAGCUAAUACCGCAUAAUGUCGCAAGACCAAAGAGGGGGACCUUCGGGCCUCUUGCCAUCAGCUGGGCCCAGGUGGGAUUAGCUAGCAGGUGGGGUAACGGCUCACCUAGGCGCCGAUCCCUAGCUGGUCUGAGAGGAUGACCAUCCACACUGGAACUGAGACACGGUCCAGACUCCUACGGGAGGCAGCAGUUGGGAAUAUUGCACAAUGGGCGCAAGCCUGAUGCAGCCAUGCCGGGUGUAUGAAGAAGGCCUUCGGGUUGUAAAGUACUUUCAGCGGGGAGGAAGGUGUUGAGGUUAAUAACCUCAGCAAUUGACGUUACCCGCAGAAGAAGCACCGGCUAACUCCGUGCCAGCCGCCGCCGUAA
rnacentral:rRNA from 1 species